rnacentral:sRNA from 1 species
GCAUAUCAAUAAGCGGAGGAAAAGAAACCACCAAGGGAUUGCCCUAGUAACGGCGAGUGAAGCGGCAACAGCUCAAAUUUGAAAUCUGGCUUCGGCCCGAGUUGUAAUUUGCAGAGGAAGCUUUAGGCGCGGCACCAUCUGAGUCCCCUGGAACGGGGCGCCACAGAGGGUGAGAGCCCCGUAUAGAUGGACGCCUAGCCUGUGUAAAGCUCCUUCGACGAGUCGAGUAGUUUGGGAAUGCUGCUCAAAAUGGGAGGUAAAUUUCUUCUAAAGCUAAAUAUUGGCCAGAGACCGAUAGCGCACAAGUAGAGUGAUCGAAAGAUGAAAAGCACUUUGAAAAGAGGGUUAAAUAGCACGUGAAAUUGUUGAAAGGGAAGCGCUUGUGACCAGACUUGCGCCGGGCGGAUCAUCCGGUGUUCUCACCGGUGCACUCCGCCCGGCUCAGGCCAGCAUCGGUUCUCGCGGGGGGAUAAAGGCCCUGGGAACGUAGCUCCUCCGGGAGUGUUAUAGCCCAGGGUGUAAUGCCCUCGCGGGGACCGAGGUUCGCGCAUCUGCAAGGAUGCUGGCGUAAUGGUCAUCAGCGACCCGUCUUGAAACACGGACC